GUAUCCGUAAGCCGCCGCCGCCGCCGGAGGCGGAGGGGGGUAGCCGUACCCGUAUUGCGGCGGCGGUGGGUAGCCGUAUCCCGAUUGCUGCGGCGGCGGCGCGUACCCGUACGGCGGCGGAGGGGGCGGCGGGUAUCCGUAGGGGGGCGGGUACGGCGCGGCGGCGGAGCUCGACGCCGCCGGGUACGCCGUCACCGGCUCGGCGCCCUGUGGCGGCUUCCCCGUUGCCUGAGGAGGGUACGACGACGGCGGUGGGUAAGGUGCCGUCGGCUCGGCGCCCUUUGGCGGCUUCCCGGUCGCCGGAGGAGGGUACGACGACGGCGGUGGGUAAGGUGCCGCCGCGGCGGCGGGGUAGGCCGCGACGGGAGCGUCGAGCUUGGACGCCGCAGAGGGAGGGGGGUACGAAGAUGGAAGUGGGUAGGACUGCGCCGCCGCGGUGGCCGGGCGCGGGGCGGCGGCGGGCGCGGUGGACUCGCCGAGCUUGUAGGAGAAGUUGAGGACGCCCUUGGGCUUUCCGGAGGAGGGGCUCCGGACCUGGUAGGAGACGAAGCGCGGGGCGGAGCGGGCGCCAUCGGCGAGGAGCUCGGAGAGGGGGACGUGGACCUCGCCGACGUCGCGGUCGCCGAGGGCGCGCUCGGCGCGGAGGAGGACGUGGAGGACGAGGCGCGAGGGGUCGAUCCCCUCGGCGGGAACGGAGAAGCGGAGCGUAG
rnacentral:lncRNA from 1 species